CACACACACACACACACACACACACACACACACACACACACACAGAACGAGAUGUCUGACUCAGAGAGUGCUGUUCCGGCGGAGAGCUCUGUCCCGGCCACCUGCGAGUCCAUUAAAGUAGAUCUGGACAAGUGUAUAAAGAAUAAUGGAGAAUCUGCGUGUAAGGAGCUGAUGGAGGCGUUCACUGCUUGUGUAAAGAGCAACACUACACCAUCAUGAGGAGCUUCGACACAGGACAGGUCUACAGGUCUUCCACAUUCCCAGCAGCCUUGAACUUGAUGUCUCGGUGGGAUUUGGCAGCAGAACCCCACACCUUUUCUCUUACUGUUAUUUCCCCUUUAAGGUUUAGAUGGUAUCUCUAACACCCCCACCCCCACCCCCAACCCAAUGAUUUUUUUCA